CAUCAUAUUCUUAGUGGUCAUUCUAUAAAACAUGUGUGCGCUGCUAUGGUCCCCGUCUUCCUUACCCUCAUGCUCGCUAAAAGAAGCGUUCAAACCGAGAGGUAUACAUAUGAAAUGACCAGACCUGUAUUUUGGACGUCAUGCUUUAACCCCUUUUUUGCUGAACGCAGGAUUAGCUUGUAUAAGACAUGGAAGAUAUCAUGGACGAGGAGUAGAGGGAAAGGAACAGAGGAAGAGAGCUUCGAGUGUACCUACACCAACGUAGCAGUCGAAGAGGCUCGGUAGGUUAUGUUGGUGGUUAAUGUAAGAUCCAUCUGUUUGUGUUUAAGAUCAUUGCCAAAUGGAACUAGUUAUAGCCGAGUAUAGGAGGGGGGUGAAGGUUGAUAAUUCAGUUUGAAACUCAUAAGCUUUGUAAUUCAGUUUUAUAGUGCUAACAACACUUUGAUGUUAUUAUGAUACCAAACUUCAACUAAAAUUGGAAUGCAAGUUUGCCUAAUGAAAUCAUCAACACUUACAGAAGUGUCAAGUAGUGUUUAUUAUCAGGAGGAAGUACCGGUAAGUCUCCCAAUAAACACCUUGAAUACCCCUAACUUCCAAUCUCCAUUCCAGUGAACAACUGUUGCUCAGAGCAGUCCAUGGCAUCGCCUCUCCUCUCCUCAAGAUUCUCACUUCUUAAGAGUCAAGUCUUAUGCACUGCUUUGAGAAGGAGAAACGUUGAAAGUAAGAAACAAUCUCCCCAGUUUUCUAUAAUUUAAUAUGAAACACCCAGUGCCUUUGGUGAGAGAGAAAGAGACAGUGAUUGAGCUUAGCAACAGAGACAGUCUUCUCAACAGACACGUAAUGUUC
rnacentral:lncRNA from 1 species